GGCGUGAUGGUUCGUACCGCACGCUGCUAUCUUUCAUGUCAUGCAAACAGGAGUGGAAACCUUUAUUUUUACCGAUUCGUAGGGACCACGACAGAUCCUUAGCAUGGUGGAAAAUUGUCAAUAGGCCGGAGUUGUUAAGGAAGGCGUGUCAGCAAGUCGGUAAUAUUUACAAGAUAUGUUUAGACAUUUUGAGGCCGGGUUGUAAAUGACUUCGACAUCUCUAUGCAUUAUACUUUCAACAGCCCUAAACAUACCCGAUAAGUUUUCUCUUGAAACCUUACGCGUGCUCAAGAGGGAGAGAUGCAAGGUGUAGCUGUAUAGUGCACACUGCACAGUGUAGUUCCUCGCCACUGGUACUGCUGACACCAUCACCAGUACCGUCCCACCAGCUCCAUCUUGUGAUAGCACCUCCAUACUAGUGCAUAGAUCAUAUCUACAUGCUUGGAUUCUGAAUUGAGUUGGAAUAAAACUAAACCAGCGCCUGCACAGCAAGAGAGACAGUGCAUUUCCGGUCUAGGCAUAACAACAGCAUUUUGCAAGUUCAAUGAAGGAUAGAACAGUUAAAACCAAAUUACAAGAAGUUAGAAACUCGUCGAUAAACACACUUAGAAAUAUUAUCAGCGGAAGUCAACACAUUUCUGAGGGAAUGAAAGAAAAAAAAAUGCAAGACACGUGAUUGUAUGCAUUUAAGUAUUAAAUGAAAUCUCCAUUAAAAUAUUAUUUUAA